rnacentral:misc_RNA from 1 species
GGGUUUUCCAUGUUCUUCAUAUAUUGUCGACUUGUUGGGAACUCCUUGACUUAGAAUGCAUAGGAAGGACUCCCAUUGAUUUCUUCCAAUAGAGUCUCCAGCAAACACUAUCCUUCCAUUCCUGCUCCUCUCCAGAAGGUCGCUUGCAUUAAAUCUUGGUAUUUCACAGCCAUCGGGCUUCCAUCUCCAGUUCAGAUACUCUGCAUCUUUCCUUCCACACCGACGACACCGAAAGCCUGGAUCGAGAAACGGGCAAGUUUCAUCGUAGGAUUGAAUCUUAUAAUAACUUUGAUCUCGAACCCAUCUUCCAUAAGAAUAGUCACAGGCUCCCUUUGAUGAUUUUUCAUUGUUUAAUAGGAUUUGUGACAAGAAACUAAAACGAGAAAAUUGAUGGGGAGUGGUUAUGAGUUCUAAGACAAAGAUUGAAGAGAUUAGGAUGACGAGAAAAAAUAUUGCAUACCUAAGUUCUCUUUUGAUUAUAAUAGGGAAA